UCUACAGGGGAGGGGUCAUGUGACCAGUUCCUGGGCACUCCCUCCUCAUGCAUACGGUAAUGAGGGAGGAGCCCAGUGGGGAAUAAAAGCACGCAUGCCCAAGUAUUCUUUAGCUCAUUCUGGGGGCCGCAACUUAUGCAUAUAAUGUUGGGGGAUGGGCUCAGGACUUUCAACCUCUGCCUCAGAGGGCACAGGAUAUUCGAUUCGACUACUCAUUUCCUAGAUUGUCUAACAUUAGCUAAAAAAAUUUGACAGAAAAAGUUCUGAAACUGCAACAAUUGUCACACAAAAAUCCGAAAACUUUUAAGUUUUGAGACAAAAGAAGGAUCUUCAAGGAAAGUAAAUGGACAUCUGCCAUUGACUUCUACAUUGACUUGGCAAGUUUUAGAUGUGUUUAGACACAGUAAAAGUCGUCUACUUUUAAUGCUAAAAAUCUGAAU